rnacentral:rRNA from 1 species
UAAGUAGGGGGCAAGCGUUAUCCGGAUUUACUGGGUGUAAAGGGAGCGUAGACGGUAUGUCAAGUCUGAUGUGAAAGCCCGGGGCUCAACCCCGGGAUUGCAUUGGAAACUGGCUUACUAGAGUGCAGGAGAGGUAAGUGGAAUUCCUAGUGUAGCGGUGAAAUGCGUAGAUAUUAGGAGGAACACCAGUGGCGAAGGCGGCUUACUGGACUGUAACUGACGUUGAGGCUCGAAAGCGUGGGGAGCAAACAGG